rnacentral:rRNA from 1 species
GUCCACGCCCUAAACGAUGUCAACUGGUUGUUGGACGGCUUGCUGUUCAGUAACGAAGCUAACGCGUGAAGUUGACCGCCUGGGGAGUACGGCCGCAAGGUUGAAACUCAAAGGAAUUUACGGGGACCCGCACAAGCGGUGGAUGAUGUGGUUUAAUUCGAUGCAACGCGAAAAACCUUACCUACCCUUUACAUGUCUGGAAGUUUCUAGAGAUAGAUUCGUGCUCGAAAGAGAACCAGAACACAGGUGCUGCAUGGCCGUCGU